rfam:Schistosoma rodhaini strain Burundi genome assembly, scaffold: SROB_scaffold0006502
AUCCAGUUAGUGAGUCCAAAAUAGAACUAAAUGCGCGUCCUGGAU